rnacentral:misc_RNA from 1 species
AUUCUCAACCUAACAAGHUCUUAACRGGGCUUGCUUAGGCUUGGACUUGGAGGCUUGUCGGCUCUUYAGCAGUCGGCUCCUCUCAAAUGCAUUAGCUUGGUUCCUUGCGGAUCGGCUCACGGUGUGAUAAUUAUCUGCGCCGCGACCGUUGAAGCGUUUAAUGGCCAGCUUCUAAUCGUCUCUUGCGAGACAGCAUUCAUCGAA